rnacentral:rRNA from 1 species
ACUCAAAGGAAUAGACGGGGGUCCGCACAAGCGGUGGAACAUGUGGUUUAAUUCGACACUACGCGAGGAACCUUACCUGGAUUUGACAUUUACUUGACCGCUGUAGAAAUACGGUUUUUCAGGCGUAAGCCUGAACAGGUAAACAGGUGCUGCAUGGCUGUCGUCAGCUCGUGUCGUGAGAUGUUGGGUUAAGUCCUUUAACGAGCGCAACUCUUGCCAUCAGUUGCUAUCCCGAAAGGGAGCACUCUGAUGGGACUGCCUGGGAAACCAGGAGGAAGGUGGGAAUGACGUCAAGUCCGCAUGGCCUUUAUGUCCAGGGCGACACACGUGUUACAAUGGCGAAUACAACGGGCUGCUAAUCCGUAAGGACAUGCUAAUCCCACAAAGUUCGUCUAAGUUCGGAUUGAGGUCUGCAACUCGACCUCAUGAAGUUGAAAUCGCUAGUAAUCGCGUAUCAGAACGACGCGGUGAAUACGUUCUCGGACCUUGUACACACCGCCCGU